rnacentral:rRNA from 1 species
AUGGCCGCCGACCACAUUCCAUGCCGCCGUUCUGUGCCAUGUCUAGCCACCGCCCUAUGCCACUCCGAGCCCCCCUACGCUGCUGUUGAUGGUAGGAGCUCGCCGGAGCUCCUGGUGGCAAGGUGGAGACGAGGAGGCAUACCAGAGGCCGGCGACCCUGCCGCGCGCGCCGUCUGGAGGCUCCGCCGCGCGCCAUGGGGCUCCGGCACGGUCGCCCCGCUGACGCGCGCCAUCGGGAGGGACCUGAUUGCUUUAUUGAAUUUUUUAUUAAAUUAUGACAAAGAAACACUGACAUAUGGGCCCCACAUGUCAGAGUCGCGCCUCGGCGCAGGCAAGUUCGGCGCCGUCGUCAAGGCGCGGUGCCGCGCCGUCGUCAAGGCGCGGUGCCGCGCCAUCGGCCAGCUCGUCGCCAUCAAGUCCCUCCACGACCCCGUCGACCCCCACGAGGUGCUUGGGGAGGCCCGCUUCCUCGAGGCCUGCGGCGGCCAACCGCACAUCGUCGGCUUCCGCGGCGUCACGCUCGACUACGUGACCGACGAGCUCUGCCUCGUCAUGGACUACGUCGAGGGCAAGAGCCUCAAAGUUCUCCUGAGCGAGAGGGGCGGCGGGCUCCCGGAGGCCACGGUGUGCACCUUCAUGUGGCAGCUCCUCACGGCCGCCAAGAAGAUGCACCGGUGUCACAUCGUCCACCGCGACAUCAAUCCUGCCAACAUCCUCGUCGGAGGGGACGAAGCCGGAGGAUUCGUCAAGAUCUGCGAUUUUGGCGUCGCCAUGUCCAUGUCGGAGGCGCCGCCGUACGAGGAGGAGGUUGGCAUGGGCGAGUACCGGGCGCCCGAGAUGCUCCUUGGAAAAGAGGACUACGACGCGCUCGUCGACACAUGGUCUCUUGGGCGCGUCAUGGCAGAGAUGCUCUCGGGCAAGAGGAUUUUCCGGGCCGCCGAAUUCAUAUCUCUGUUCCAAAGGAUCUACGAAGUGGUGGGCGUGCCGGACGACACGACGUGGCCGGGGUUCACGUCGCUGCCGCACGCCGCCCCGCCGCCGCUGGUGCCGGGGCAGAAGAGCACGCUGCGAGAUCUGUUCCCGGAGGAGACACUGUCCACGGAGGGAUUCAAGGUCCUCAACGGUCUUCUUACAUGCAACCCCGACAAGCGGCUGAAGGCGGCCACCGCGCUGAAGCUCCCGUGGUUCGCCACCGCUGCUGCAAACGCCCACCCUUCUGCUCCUACUGCUGCUGCAAAGAUCGACACGAUGGCAGUGUCCAUAAAGGAGGAAGUGGUGGAGUUCGCUCCGUUGAUGCCUCCCAGAAGAGAGUCACGGCCAAGAAGAUGUUGA